UUUUUUUUUUUUUUUUUUCUGAAGAGCAAAAAUUAAUUUUUGUUGUAAUGGACUUUUUCCUUUUCUCAUAUCCAGCAGAAUUCAUAUAUUCAUUAAGUAUUCUUUGUCCUUGUUGCAUUUACUUUUUUAGCAAAAUAAAAUUUUAGAAGUACUUUUGAAGGAGGCCUAGGUGAAAAACAAAACAUUCAAUAUGAUGCUACAUGGGAUCAAACCAUUAAAUUUGAUAAGGAAAGGUAUCUAUUGAAAGAGACAAAUUUCGUAUAUCUAUAGGUAUCAUGAGUCAUGCCUUCAUUGAUUGGUUUUAUGGUGGUCGCUUUUUCCUUAUAUUUUUCCCAACCCUGCUCUAUUGGUUCUUUAGAAUGCAAGUCUAGAGUGUUGAACCCAUGCCUCAGGCUAAGAUUUUCUUAGUUGUACCGACCAGCCUAUUUGUUGUUGUUUAUAACUACCUGAGAGGCUUAUCUAUCUAGUACUAUUUAGAGAUGCUUUCUGCAACUCUUUUUAGAUUGCACAGAUUUAAGGCUGAACACAAAGAAUGGAAUUGAAGACACUAGUAUAUGUGAAGCAGUUUUGUAAAUUGAUGGCCUUAGAUUUCUCAUCAAAGUAAACAGGGCAGUGCCUAGAGAAUGAGAAGUGGGAUGCAAUCAUGCAUAGAUUGGUGAAUUGCUUUAAGAGGGCUUUGUAGUCAAUGUUUUGAAUCGGAAAGGCUUUCACAUUUGUUUGCUACUUUCAUCAUUCAUAAUUGGAGGUCUUUUUUUUUUAAAUUGUUGCUUUUCCUUUAGUAGUAAUAUCUACAGUUCUCCCAACUUUCUUCACUUCUGGAUUUAAAACAAUGCUGAUUUGUUUUUGAGGGCCAGCAUCAGCUGCCAAAGACACACACACAUACACACACACAGACACACACUGAACCAGAUGGGGUGAAAUUGGUCAUUGGACUAGUUCCCAGUUUAGCUAGUUUGGUUUUCAAAACAAUGGUUUUUUUACCAUGUAGAGUUUGUUGAUGAAUUGCUUUCAUUUCCUUCUGUGUGGUAUAUGGAUUUGGCUGUCGGCUUUCUUGCUUUACUAUUUACAUGCAUAAUAUUGGCAUAUGAAGAAUUCUGAGUAGUUGUAGAUUUAAAUGUCUUUAAAGAACCAUGAUAUUGGCAUUUGAUGCAAGUCUGAAGUUUGAGUUAGACUAUUUAUCUGGAACACAUGCUUGCAGGGGUGAUUCACUUUGUUCAGGA
rnacentral:misc_RNA from 1 species